rnacentral:rRNA from 1 species
GCAUCUCCCUUACACCGAGAAGGUAUCCGUGCAACUCGGAUCACCCUGACUGCCUUAAAGCUAGCCUCAACAAUCAAGACCUUUUAUUAAGAUCCUAAUAACUUAAAUAAACUUAACCAAACCAUUUUCACUCCGAGUAUAGGUGAUAGAAACGAAAAAAGAGCAAUAGAUAUAGUACCGCAAGGGAACACUGAAAAAGAAAUGAAACAACCCAUUAAAGCUUAAAACAGCAGAGCUAAUCCCUCGUACCUUUUGCAUCAUGAUUUAGCAAGCAAACUCUCAGGCAAAGAGCUCUUUUAGUCUGACACCCCGAAACUGAGCGAGCUACUCCAAGACAGCCUAUAUUAGGGCAAACCCGUCCCUGUGGCAAAAGGGUGGGAAGAGCUUUGAGUAGAGGUGAUAAACCUACCGAGCCCAGUUAUAGCUGGUUGCCUGGGAAAUGAAUAAAAGUUCAGCCCUACUAAUCCUUCCCCCCUCACAUAUGAUUACACUAUAAUGAUCAAGGAAAAUUAGAGGAGUUAAUUGAAGGGGGUACAGCUCCUUCAAUAAAUGAUACAACUU